rnacentral:misc_RNA from 1 species
GAGGAGAGCGCGCCGGUGCGGAUGGCCGAUUUGAGCGGCAGCAGGCUCAGAAUCUGCAGGCGCAGCACGUCGGGAAGGUCCGAGAUGCGGUCCUCCUCCUCGGGCUCCUCGUGGGCCCCUCCUGUCCGGCGCCGCUUCUCGCCGCGCCCCGCCAUUCCCCGCUCUUCCGCCGGUCUCGCCCCCUUAUCGGCGCCGCAUCGGGGGGAGGAUUCCGGGGUAGGAGGGGUUCGGUCGGGCGCAGCUACAGAGGUGUGAGCAGGGACGGGAGGAAACGGAAGGGGGAGAGACGUGUGGAGGUGUCUCGCUCGCCGCCUGGCCGCCCGCCCGCUGCGGUGGCCUCUUCUUGUGCCUCGCUUCGGGUUUCCCCCCACCCCGCUCUCUCUGUCUGUCUCCC